rnacentral:rRNA from 1 species
GGGUUUCCUGAGGAAGGCUCGUCCGCUCAGGGUUAGUCGGGACCUAAGCCGAGGCCGAAAGGCGUAGGCGAUGGACAACAGGUUGAUAUUCCUGUACCACCUCCUCACCAUUUGAGCAAUGGGGGGACGCAGGAGGAUAGGGUAAGCGCGGUAUUGGAUAUCCGCGUCCAAGCAGUUAGGCUGGGAAAUAGGCAAAUCCGUUUCCCAUAAGGCUGAGCUGUGAUGGCGAGCGAAAUAUAGUAGCGAAGUUCCUGAUUCCACACUGCCAAGAAAAGCCUCUAGCGAGGUGAGAGGUGCCCGUACCGCAAACCGACACAGGUAGGCGAGGAGAGAAUCCUAAGGUGAUCGAGAGAACUCUCGUUAAGGAACUCGGCAAAAUGACCCCGUAACUUCGGGAGAAGGGGUGCUCUGUUAGGGUGCAAGCCCGAGAGAGCCGCAGUGAAUAGGCCCAGGCGACUGUUUAGCAAAAACACAGGUCUCUGCGAAGCCGUAAGGCGAAGUAUAGGGGCUGACGCCUGCCCGGUGCUGGAAGGUUAAGAGGAGCGCUUAGCGUAAGCGAAGGUGCGAAUUGAAGCCCCAGUAAACGGCGGCCGUAACGAUAACGGUCCUAAGGUAGCGAAAUUCCUUGUCGGGUAAGUUCCGACCCGCACGAAAGGCGCAACGAUCUGGGCACUGUCUCAACGAGAGACUCGGUGAAAUUAUAGUACCUGUGAAGAUGCAGGUUACCCGCGACAGGACGGAAAGACCCCGUGGAGCUUUACUGCAGCCUGAUAUUGAAUGUUGGUGCAGCUUGUACAGGAUAGGUAGGAGCCUUGGAAACCGGAGCGCCGGCUUCGGUGGAGGCAUCGGUGGGAUACUACCCUGGCUGUAUUGACCUUCUAACCCGCCGCCCUUAUCGGGCGGGGAGACAGUGUCAGGUGGGCAGUUUGACUGGGGCGGUCGCCUCCUAAAAGGUAACGGAGGCGCCCAAAGGUUCCCUCAGAAUGGUUGGAAAUCAUUCGCAGAGUGUAAAGGCACAAGGGAGCUUGACUGCCAGACCUACAAGUCGAGCAGGGACGAAAGUCGGGCUUAGUGAUCCGGUGGUUCCGCAUGGAAGGGCCAUCGCUCAACGGAUAAAAGCUACCCCGGGGAUAACAGGCUUAUCUCCCCCAAGAGUCCACAUCGACGGGGAGGUUUGGCACCUCGAUGUCGGCUCAUCGCAUCCUGGGGCUGUAGUCGGUCCCAAGGGUUGGGCUGUUCGCCCAUUAAAGCGGUACGCGAGCUGGGUUCAGAACGUCGUGAGACAGUUCGGUCCCUAUCCGUCGCGGGCGCAGGAAAUUUGAGAGGAGCUGUCCUUAGUACGAGAGGACCGGGAUGGACGCACCGCUGGUGUACCAGUUGUUCUGCCAAGGGCAUCGCUGGGUAGCUAUGUGCGGACGGGAUAAGUGCUGAAAGCAUCUAAGCAUGAAGCCCCCCUCAAGAUGAGAUUUCCCAUUCCGCAAGGAAGUAAGAUCCCUGAAAGAUGAUCAGGUUGAUAGGUCUGAGGUGGAAGUGUGGCGACACAUGGAGCUGACAGAUACUAAUCGAUCGAGGACUUAAUC